UUACUCUGUCCUCUCUUCACAACGUACAAGUCUUUUGCUUUUUACCAAAGACUUCAGCUGAGAGAAACACUCAAGCUUAAGCUCCUUUUGGAAGGCUUUGUCGAAUUUGCCU